CCUACGGGUGGCAGCAGUAGGGAAUAUUGCUCAAUGGGGGAAACCCUGAAGCAGCAACGCAGCGUGAAGGAUGACGGCUUUAGGAUUGUAAACUCCUUUUGUUAGAGAAGUAUAUGACGGUAUCUAACGAAUAAGCACCGGAUAACUCCGUGCCAGCAGCCGCGGUAAUACGGAGGGUGCAAGCGUUACUCGGAAUCACUGGGCGUAAAGAGUGCGUAGGCGGGGUAAUAAGUCAGUUGUGAAAUCCUGUAGCUUAACUACAGAACUGCAUUUGAAACUGUUACUCUGGAGUGUAGAAGAGGUAGGUGGAAUUCUUGGUGUAGGGGUAAAAUGCGUAGAGAUCAAGAGGAAUACUCAUUGCGAAGGCGACUUGCUGGAACAUUACUGACGCUGAUGCACGAAAGCGUGGGGAGCAAACAGGAUUAGAUACCCGUGUAGUC
rnacentral:rRNA from 1 species